UCCCUCACCAUGCCAUACAACUCACAACUGACGCUAAAGCCUUGUUCGUUUUCGAUCUUCGCCGUUGUUCAUCUCCAUUUUUGUCCUCGUUGAUUGUCCACUUAGUUAUCGUUCUUCAAUGUGGUUACUGGUUUUCGUUUGAUCGUCGAUCAACGCUAUCCCUCAUCGUAAUGACGCAUCAUACUGCAGAUCGUCUCUCGAUGCACAACAUCAUGUCUUUGUACGUCUCCAUCUCUCUCUCUCACACUCUCCUUCAAUUAAGUUUCAUUGUGUCAUAUGGGAAUCCUCAUAGUAGAAUUAGGGUUUUAGUGUGCAUUAGUGCACUUGGAUUCAUGCAGGGUUCGAAUCUCCGUUGUUGUUUAGGUCAAACAUGGUUGCCAACAAAGAGGUUGCGAGACAUCUCAUGCAUCAAGUGGGUUAUGUUACCACAAAAGGGAGAAACAUACUUGUGAGGAGCUCAAUUCUAGAGAAUCCAAGUUUGUUCGACCAUACACGCCGCCUGCGCAUGCAUUUUUACUAGUCUCGACACAACCGCUUGCUUGUACACUAGGCCAAG